CCUCUCUCUGUUUCUCCUCUUUGGUCCUGCCCUGGAGUCUCCGAAGACCACCGUUGUUAUGGGAGCCUUCUUCUUCCAAGUUCCUUUUCUGGUCGUGUGGCCCUAACCAUGUCCCUUCCCCUCUGCCGCGUCAGUUGCCCCAUCUGGCUAAUGGGUGCGAUAAAUGAAGUGGUGGCUGGCGCUGACUGUCAUGCAUUCUGGGGCCCCCCCGUGCCGUCACAAAGGCCCCAAGGAGGGAGAAGGCCAGCCGUUACCAGGCUUCCCGGCGGACAGCGUGAGGCAGAAGGUAGCUCUCGGUGAGAUGGGGAGACCAAGGCCAAUAGUCUCCCUCGUUAGCCCAAGUGUGGCUCUGGGUGGCACAGAGCCAGCUGGGACUCUCACUUUUCUCAUUCUGGUCCCUGUGCUCCUGUGAACGUGACCUGAGACCUCAACAGCUGUGUCAGUGAAAGUGAUAGAAGCUGUCCACUGCGGGACUCCUCACAACACUGAGGGGCAGCCCUGGAGAAGGACAGACCCCCCUUGCAGUCCCACAGAGCCUUUGCCUGGCUGAGCCCAGCUAGUGGCGGUGAUGUCAGGCCUGCCUGCUGGUUGGGCAGGCCAAGCGGCAAUGGCCCCGGGGCCCGACAGGUGCACAGGAGGGGCAGGCCUGAGCUAUGGAUCUGGCUCUUAAAGACUGUUGAGCACAACCUUGCCCUGGCUGGGCCUCCACAGGCAUUGGGAUGGGCACUUGGGAAGCGUCACAUGGCUUUGGCACUUGGCCAGUUCUAGCUGGGAGAAGCACAACUGUGCUAGAAUCAGGAUCAUCUUGGAAGCUCAGCUCUGCCCUCGGGCUCCUUGAAAAAGACCCAGAGACCAUCCCUCAGGCAGCAAAUGGAGAUGCAGGCACUCGGUCCCCAAGCGUGGGUUGGGGCCCACUUCUAAGCCAGGCCCUGUGGGAGACAGAGAAAUGAGGCAGGGGCUGGAAGGGCGAAGAUUGCAUUUCCCAGACUCCCUGUCAGCUGGGGUUUGGGGACCAAGUAGGUCAUGCCCAAUAAAUGCGCAUGUGUGAGAUUUUGAAGGCAAAGGUAAGGUGGCUUUCCCUUACUUUUCUGCUUCCUGCUUUGGCUCUUUCCUGCUGGUUGGGAAGGCAUUAAGAUUUUUUGCAGCUGUGGUCUCAUCGUCCAGUCACCUGCUCAUGGGUGUCCAGAGAUGGUGAUGGGGCCAUCAGCAAUGUCUGAUCCCUAGACAAAAGCUAAAGUGACAAAUUCCUAAAGAUGACACCAAGCUUCUGGGUUGUGACAGAGGCAGCAGCUCCCAUGAGUAGACGGUAUAGCAAUGUUCUGAGAGUCAUUCUUGGAGGCUCAGCCCACUUCCCAGAUUUUUCAAUAAUUUUGCAAGAACCCAACUUCCUGUGUUAAAUUUCUUUCGGUUUAAAGUAGUAAAUGUGGUUUCUGCUUCCUGCAACCGAAGGCCGAGCG
rnacentral:lncRNA from 1 species